GUCCGUCCGUCCGUCCAUCCACCGAUCUAUCCAUCCAUCCUUCCACCCAUCCAUCAUCAUCAUCCAUCAUCAUCCAUCACCAACCCAUCCAUCAUCAUCAUCAUCAUCAUCCAUCCAUCAUCAUCAUCAUCAACCCAUCCAUCCAUCAUCAUCAUCAUCAUCCACCAUCAUCACCAUCAUCAUCCAUCCAUCAUCAUCAUCAUCCAUCAUCAUCAUCCAUCAUCAUCAUUCAUCAUCAUCAUCCAUCAUCAUCAUCCAUCAUCAUCCAUCCAUCAUCAUCAUCCAUCACCAUCAUCAUCCAUCAUCAUUAUUCAUCAUCAUCCACCAUCAUCACCAUCAUCAUCCAUCCUUCAAUCCAUCCAUCCAUCUAUCCAUCCUUCUGACCAUCCAUCAUCAUCAUCCAUCAUCAUCACCCAUCAUCAUCAUCCAUCAUCAUCAUCCAUCAUCAUCAUCCAUCACCAUCAUCAUCCAUCAUCAUCAUCAUCCAUCAUCCUCCAUCAUCGUCAUCAUCCAUCAUCAUCCAUCAUCAUCAUCCAUCAUCCUCCAUCAACAUCAUCAUCCAUCAUCAUCCUCCAUCAACAUCAUCAUCCAUCAUCAUCAUCAUCAUCAUCAUCAUCCAUCCUUCUAUCUGACCAUCCAUCAUCAUCCAUCAUCAUCAUCCAUCAUCAUCCAUCAUCAUCCAUCAUCAUCAUCAUCACCAUCAUCAUCAUCCAUCAUCAUCAUCAUCAUCCAUCAUCAUCCACCAUCACCAUCAUCAUCAUCAUAAUCAUCAUCAUCCAUCAUCAUCAUCAUCCAUCAUCAUCAUCAUCAUCCAUCAUCAUCAUCAUCAUCAUCAUCAUCAUCCAUCAUCAUCAUCAUCCAUCCUUCUAUCUGACAAUCCAUCCAUCCUUCUAUCCGUCCAUCCGCCCAUCUGUCUCCUGCCGAGGCCAGGUCCUCGCGCUUCCAUCACCAUCACCAUCACCAUCACCAUCAUCCAUCAUCAUCAUCAUCAUCCAUCCAUCAUCAUCAUCAUCAUCCAUCAUCAUCCAUCAUCAUCAUCAUCAUCAUCAUCCAUCAUCAUCAUCAUCAUCAUCAUCAUCACCAUCAUCAUCCAUCAUCAUCAUCCAUCCAUCAUCAUCAUCAUCCAUCAUCAUCCAUCAUCAUCAUCAUCCACCAUCAUCAUCAUCCAUCAUCAUAAUCAUCAUCC
rnacentral:lncRNA from 1 species